AGAGUUUGAUCCUGGCUCAGGAUGAACGCUGGCGGCGCGGAUAAGGCAUGCAAGUCAAACGCUGAGUACAUAAGCAAUUAUGUGCUCGGAGUGGCAGAUGGGUUAGCAACACGUAGAUACUUACCCUGUACACGGGCAUAAUCCCGCGAAAGCGGGACUAAUUCCCGAUGGUCUCCUCUUUUCCUUUUUGUUUCACAAAAAGCUUCAGAUGGACAAAGCCGCAAGGCUGCGUCCUCCGUGGCUCUGAGUGGAGCGAAGAGCGAAGGAGGAGUAAAGGAGAAAUCCAGUACAGGAAAGGUCUGCGGCCUAUCAGCUAGUUGGUAGGGUAAUGGCCUACCAAGGCAAUGACGGGUAGGCGAAGUGAGAGCUUGUUCGCCAACAGGGGUACUGAGAUACGGACCCCACUCCUACGGGAGGCAGCAGUCGAGAAUAUUCGGCAAUGGGCGAAAGCCUGACCGAGCGACGCCGCGUGCUCGAAGAAGCCCUUCGGGGUGUAAAGAGCUUUUCUGGAGGAUGAAUUCCGCUUCUAGCGGAAUGACAGUACUCUAGGAAUAAUGGGGUGCUAAUCACGUGCCAGCAGCCGCGGUAAUACGUGACCCCAAAGCGUUAUCCGGAUUUAUUGGGCGUAAAGAGUCUGUAGGCGUCCCAUCAGGUUUCCUGUUAAAUACCUAGGGCUCAACCUUAGGGGUGCAGGAAAAACCGAUGGGAUUUGAGGGCGUUAGAGGCUAGUGGAACGGUCGGUGUAGGGGUGAAAUCCGUUGAUAUCGACCGGAACCCUAAAAGCGAAGGCAUCCAGCUGGGGCGACCCUGACGCUGAGAGACGAAAGCGUAGGUAGCGAAAAGGAUUAGAUACCCUUGUAGUCUACGCUGUAAACGAUGGACACUAGCUAUUUGUAGUGUCGACCCUAUGAGUGGCGAAGUUAACGCAUUAAGUGUCCCGCCUGGGAAGUACGGCGGCAACGCUAAAACUCAAAGGAAUAGACGGGGAUUUACACAAGCGGUGGACCAUGUGGCUCAAUUCGACAACAAACGAGGAACCUUACCAGGGCUUGACAUCCUACUGAAAGUUCGCCGAAAGGCGGAUCUACCCACAAGGACAGUAGGACAGGUGCUGCAUGGUUGUCGUCAGCUCGUAUCUUGAGACGUACGCUUAAGUGCGGUAACGAGCGCAACCCCUAUCCUGCGUUAUAAGUGUCGCGGGAAACUGCCUGGGAUAACCAGGAGGAAGGUGGGGAUGACGCCAAAUCAGCAUGGCCCUUUGACGCCCUGGGCUGCACACGUGGUACAAUGGGGCUGACAAUGGGUUGCAAAACGGCAACGUGGAGCUAAUCCCAUCAAACGGCCUCCAAGUUCGGAUUGAGGUCUGCAACCUGACCUCAUGAAGCCGGAAUCGCUAGUAAUCGCACAUCAGCUAUGGUGCGAUGAAUCCGUUCCUAAAUCUUGUACUCACCGCCCGUCACAUUAGGGGAGCCGGCAGUAGCCGAAAUUCCGAGCAAUCGGACCUAAGCUAAGGUCGGUGACAAGAAUGAAGUCGUAACAAGGUAAC
rnacentral:rRNA from 1 species